AUACGGAGGGGGCUAGCGUUGUUCGGAAUUACUGGGCGUAAGGCGCACGUAGGCGGAUUAAAAAGUUAGAGGUGAAAUCCCAGGGCUUAACCCUGGAACUGCCUUUAAAACUAGUAGUCUAGAGUUCGAGAGAGGUGAGUGGAAUUCCAAGUGUAGAGGUGAAAUUCGUAGAUAUUUGGAGGAACACCAGUGGCGAAGGCGGCUCACUGGCUCGAUACUGACGCUGAGGUGCGAAAGCGUGGGGAGCAAACAGGAUUAGAAACCCCAGUAGUCC
rnacentral:rRNA from 1 species